UCAGUCAGCAAGCUGGGAGCAGUGGUUUCCCAGGUGUAAGGUGUAGGGGCUGAGGGAGGACAGAGUUUGUUAAGCAGAAGAUAUUUGUGAGACACCUGGAGAGAGUCUGAGGCCAGAUGCUGCAGUGGUGCCUGACCUGAGCUUGUUGCAAGAGGGAUUUCCCUCUGCUCCAUUUGUUACCACCCUGUUCAAGGGAAUAGGACUUGUUUGUUUAGACUACACUAAGAAAAUACCUGGCUUUGCAUCACAGAAAACCAACCUGCAAGGGCCUGAAUUCUGCUACUGCUCAGCAAAGGGACAACCAUAUUAACUGAAGGUUAUUUAGGGCUUGUCUACACUGGCAAUUUACAGCGCUGCAACUUCCUCGCUCAGGGGGGUGAAAAAAACAUCUCCCUGAGCACAGCAAGGUUCAGCGCUGUAAAGUGCCAGUGUAAACAGUGCCUCAGCGCUGGGAGCCGCACCACUCAUGGAGGCCUCAACUGGAAACACUGUGUUCAAUUUUGGGCAUCGCUUUUUAACAGAAACUGAAGAGUGGUCAGAGGAGAACAGCAAAUACUGUAUGCUGAAAAGUUUGGUAAAUAAUACCUGCAGCAUGAGAAAAGAUUAGAAGAGUAUAUAUGGACAAAAGAAGACUGAAUAGGCAUUACUGUCUGUAUGACUAGUUAAUGGAAUACAAUAAAAAGGGGAAUUGUUCUCAUUAGUCAAAGGGGAAAGAACUAAUGAGCUUAAAUUGCUGCAAGGAUAUUAAGGUUAAAUCUUGCAUAAAACUUUUAUAGUCAUUGCCAGGAUGUUUGAACAAGCUGCAAGGAAGGUUGCUGGAGAUAUUCAAGGCGAGACUUGAAAAACCCAUUGAUCAUGGAUAGCUUCGGAAGCACAAAAUCAAUUCCACUGUGAUUCAAGAAAAUGGAUAGGUGAACUAAGUGACCCAUGACAAGAGAAUCUCUUACAAAUCUAUGUCACCAAUCAUUCUGUCUGUUUAACGUUUAUCCUUUCACGCAGUUUGGACAAUAAAACUAGAUUGGUCAGUUUCAUGUUUGUUUCAAGUAUGUUUCUCCCUCUGUUUCUCCUGUAUUGUUGUUUCUUGGAUUUAGAAGACUGGAAAGAAUGUUUUAAUAAAACAACAGCUGUUUUUAUUA